rnacentral:snoRNA from 1 species
AAGACUCUACUUUCAGGGAUCAUUUCUUUAGUCUGGAACUAGAGGAUUGUGUUUCUACAGAGGUUGGUCUGGCUGUCCAUGAUGAUGAUGAAUGAAGAUGUUUCCUUCAGAGCAGGAAGCUGGUGAGAAGAUGAGAAUCUUCUUCACUGAUGAAGACUGUUCAGUGUUUCUGCAUGUGACACUGAAGGAGGAAAUAUUGUCUGAGUGGA